CCUACGGGACGCAGCAGUAGGGAAUCUUCCACAAUGGACGAAAGUCUGAUGGAGCAACGCCGCGUGAGUGAAGAAGGGUUUCGGCUCGUAAAGCUCUGUUGGGAGGGAAGAAAGAUAGAGGUAGUAAAUGGCCUUUAUUUGACGGGAAUUACUUAGAAAGUCACGGCUAACUACGUGGCAGCAGCCGCGGUAAUACGUAGGUGGCAAGCGGUGUCCGGAUUUAUUGGGCGUAAAGCGAGUGAAGGCGGUUCAAUAA
rnacentral:rRNA from 1 species